ensembl:lncRNA
CCUUUCUACGCAGUAUGUUGUCUCUCAAUAGUUGAAGAAAAUCAUAUACAUGUGAUAUGUUUUGGUGGGAGUGUAACUGCCUCUGUGUCAGUCAGCGCAGUAUUUCUGAGUUAUUUAUUUUGGUAGGAACCAAAGUUCUCUAAGGCGGAACCUUUGUUUUUGUAUCGCCCGUUUCCGUCAGGACAUACUUUAGCGUAACACUCAUCAAAAAGUCCGCUGAUUUAGUACAUGUUUUUCAGUGCUGAUGCAUCUGCAAAAUAGCUCUUAGCAUCAAGAUAAACAAUCCUACAGAGUAAUGCCAAGCUACACAACUUUCCUCAUGCAAUGCAGCUACUAAGUUUUCACGGUCUGGAUGAACCAAAUAAAUCCUGCCAGUAAACAAAAAGGAAACUCGUUGCUGUCGUUUGUACUGAGGGAAUUAUACCUAUGGUCAUGAGGGUUGGGUGAUGGCCGAAAGGACGAGAUCGCGGGUACAAGCGGCCGAGAUGAGUUUUCUCAGAAGGGUGGCUGGCGUCUCGGGAUAAGUUCUACAAAAACAAAGUUAUGAAGAAACUAACAUCUGAUUAAGAAACAAGAAAAGCAAGCCUUGUGUACCGGAUUCCACUUCUUUGUAAAUACUGUUAACUAGCUGUCUAGUUUUAACUGGAACACAUUACGAGGGCAGCAUGCACGCCAAGAAAGGUUCAGAGGAG